GGAGGAGUGGCAGAGCUGGUUUAAUGCACCGGUCUUGAAAACCGGCGGGGGUUAACGCCCACCGGGGGUUCGAAUCCCUCCUCCUCCGCAA
rnacentral:tRNA from 1 species